rnacentral:rRNA from 1 species
UACAGAGGGGGCAAGCGUUAUUCGGAAUUAUUGGGCGUAAAGGGCGCGUAGGCGGCUUGGCAAGUGGAAGGUGAAAUCCCUCGGCUUAACCGAGGAACUGCCCUCCAAACUGCUUCGCUUGAGACCGGGAGAGGUGAGUGGAAUUCCCAGUGUAGCGGUGAAAUGCGUAGAUAUUGGGAGGAACACCAGUGGCGAAGGCGGCUCACUGGACCGGUACUGACGCUGAGGCGCGAAAGCGUGGGGAGCAAACGGG